rnacentral:rRNA from 1 species
UAGCAAUUCGCCCUGCCASAUUCAGUUGCUCGUGCUCCGCGACGUGCGCGCUCUCGAUCCGCAUGGACGAGACGUGCGCGGGUGCGGCGCUCGGACGGCGCACUUCUGGCGGGCGAGCGUCAGCGUCGGUUGUCGACGGGCGACAAGGAUGCAAGGAAGGUGGACCGGUCUUCGGGCCGGUUGUUAAGCCUUGUGCUCGUAUAGCUCGACGGCGACCGUGGCUCCGAAGAGGCGACGCGUGCCUAGCUGGCGACUCGAACGAUCGGUCUGGCAUGUCGACUGUGGCGGACGGCACGCCUGUGCGCUCGAACUGCUGCCGGUCGAUCGUGCGAUGUUCGCACACUACGCGUCGAAGAUGCUGACGACCAUACGGCUCCAUCCGACCCGUCUUGAAACACGGACCAAGGA